GACGAACGCUGGCGGCGUGCUUAACACAUGCAAGUCGAACGGAAAGGCCUGCUUUCCCUUGUGGAUUGCGGGUACUCGAGUGGCGAACGGGUGAGUAACACGUGAGUGAUCUGCCCCCAACUUGGGUAUAAGCCUGGGAAACUGGGUCUAAUUCCCGAUAGGACUGCAGGGUGGUGCCGGUGGUGGAAAACGAUUUUCUAGUGGUUGGGGAUGAGCUCGCGGCCUAUCAGCUUGUUGGUGGGGUAAUGGCCUACCAAGGCGGCGACGGGUAGCCGGCCUGAGAGGGUGGACGGCCACAUUGGGACUGAGAUCCGGCCCAGACUCCUACGGGAGGCAGCAGUGGGGAAUAUUGCACAAUGGGCGGAAGCCUGAUGCAGCGACGCCGCGUGGGGGAUGACGGCCUUCGGGUUGUAAACUCCUUUCGACCGCGAGGAAGCCACCUGGUUGGAAGGGUGGUGACGGUAGUGGUAGAAGAAGCACCGGCUAACUACGUG
rnacentral:rRNA from 1 species